CUUUGGCCUGGGCUCCUCAAAUAUGAGACAGCUUGGCACCUGAGAGAUAUUAGUAGACAAGAGUGAUCUGACCCCAGGACUCUUGAGCUGAGAAGAGGGGCUUCCAUAGAGGAAGACGAUGCUGUGUCUCAUCCAAGGAACGAUCUUGAGAAGUGGGGUGAUUCUAUCUUUCAACAGACUUCCUGGUGCUGGGUCUCCUUGUUCUCUCUUUAGUGUGACCGAGAGGCCAGAUGACCACGUAUAUGCCUAAGAGGAGAAGCUGCCACCUGUUGCUGUAAAUCUGUCCAGGGGACUGGAGGAGGAAUUCUCUGAAAAAUGAUCUAAGAAGAUAGCACCUUGGCAGAGAUCUGGGGAUCCUGAUCAUCCGAAGGCCAUCUGCUCUAUGCUUUCAGCUGGUCUUGAAUAAGCAGCCUGGACACCCCGAUGAUGUUUGGGACCCAUUCACUCAUGCAUCCAUUCAUUCAUCCUACAAGCAUGUGAGCAUCGUCUGCCAAACACUGACUGAGCCUGUGCUGGGAGUUCAAACAGCAUGAAGCCUCUGUCCUUGCCCCCUUCAAGAGCUCCCACUCCAGACUGAUUCAAGACUCUGCCCAAAGGUGAAAUGCAGUCAGCUAAGUUCUUGGGUGCCUUUCUGGAUUUGAGAACCUGUUUGGAAUCAGCCAUACGUUUCCGUCCACUGGGAAAUGGGGUUGACCUGCCUUAGCCAGGCCUCACAUGCCAUCCUGAUGAAACAUUAUUUUAGGGGCUGGCAGCCCUGAACUGGCUUCUGUUCUGCUGGCCCCAUAGGCUGGCUCAGUUCCAGGCUCACCUUUCGCUACCCUUGUGGCUGCCACAUUGCCCAGCUUUGAUUUAUCGUGUCUUCAGCAGAGCUGUGGGCCUAGAGUGAUUUAAUGUUGAUAUUAUAUGUCACACAGAAGAUGCCAGCAUCGCCAGCAGAUCUCAUGUCUCCACUCUCCAGCAGUCUGGAUUGAGGGCCCUAAAGAAGGCAGGUGACCCUAAGGCCCCCUCUUGGAAAGGGGCUGUUGAACGUCCUUUACUCUUCUUAAAAUUUCCAUUUGAAACCUGUUUUGCUGCAUGUCACCCCCUGCAGCCAAUAUUGAUGUUAAUCUUGGGCUGCAUAUGCAAUGUGACCUCGGAUGAAAUUGAACAACUGGGUAAUUAUCUGUGGACCUAUUUCUAAUGAAAUAAUUGGAAUAAUUGGAAUAGGAUUAGUAGAACUGCAGAGAGACCUGUUGCUCCUAGCUGGGCUCUUAAUGCCAAACAAAAGAAGCAACGUGUCAGUAAUUCAGUUGGUGGAUGCCUUGGAGCCAUUCAAGAUGCAUUUUGCUCAUUAGCCAAAUCUCUUCCUGCCCUCAUCCUCCCCCAACAUUUGUUUCAGAUGUGAUUUUCAUGAAGCAUGUCCCUGUGUCUUGUUUGUCUUUGGCAAACACAAGUAACUAUUAUAAAUAUAGCAUUGGAUCUCCCUGCUCUUUGGGGACCCUGAGAUUUAUAGUGCCAUGGUUGCUAAUUAAUUUAUGAUUCCUUCAUUUAACAAACAUGUUGAAUGAGCCAUUUGUAAACACAUCUUGACUGAGUACCUCCUAUGCCUCAGCCACUCUUCUAGGCACUGACAGUGGGAGAGGCAGACAAUAGAUAAGCAGAACAAAUCAGUUGAUCAAUCAAUAGAGAUGAUGUGAUUUGAGAUGAUGAUAAGAGAUGAAAAGGCAGCCUGUGAUGGAGAAGGGAUAGGAGGAAAUGACCAGUUUAUAUCUAGUGGGCAAGGAGGACAGAGACAUAGAGAAUUUGUUACCAAAACACCAGGAGUUUUGUCUAAGUUCUGUUGCUUGACACCCAGAAAGCCAAUCACUGAGAAGACGACUGUUGCCAGGGAAGAAGGCUUUAAUCGGGUGCUGCAGCUGAGGAGGUGGGAGAUAGAGUCUUGAGUCCAUCUACUCAAGCACCUAAAAUCAGGGGUUUGUAUAGCACGGCAGAAAUGUAACCAUGUAUGGGAAAACAGAAAUUAGGAAGGAGUGAGGAAGAGGAGUUGGUCAACAGGAAGCAGGUGGUCAGAUAGGGAAUCAUGAUGGGUGAGGGUCUGGUGUCUCUUUGCCCAGAUGUGAUGGUCUUAUAAUUUCAGCUCCUCGAUAUUAUCUUGGGAGAGGGGGUGAUGACUGGGUUCCUGAGAAAAGAACUCAGGUAAGACAACUGUAACUUUCUCAAAUUUUAAGACUUCGGGAUCAAUUUUUAUGUUUAUUCAAAAGAAACCAUAAACAUCAGUUCUAGGGGACAAUUGGGCUGGUUUCAAAUUGCUGUGUGUGUUGUGACUGGAAGGAUGCAUAAGACAUGGUUCUUGGCCUCACAGAGCUCCUGGUCUCAUUAGGGAUAUGGAUAUAGAGAAUGACAAAGAAAAAUACGGUAAGUGCUGUGAUGGGAUUGUGUGAAAUGAACACACAGAAGGGGUGACACUAACUGCACAGGAGAGGGGGCAGGCAAGUCUUGCCUUCUAAGAGAUGGUGAGGCUUGAGCUGCCACUGAAAGGAAAUGUGGAAGUCAAGGGAUAAAUUUGGCUGGAGAAAGGGAGGAAGGACAUUGUGUUAGGCAUUCAUCUUUUCAAUAAUCUUUUAUUGAGCAUCUAUUAUGUGCCAGGCAUUGUUCUAGGUGCUGUAGUGUCAGUGGUGAACUUCCUUUCUAACAGUGGAGCAGAGACAAUGAGUCAGUAAGCAAAUAAGAUAAUAUUGGCUGGUGACAACCUCUGUGAAAUCGAUGCAGGAUAAUGUUAUAGGGAGAGUUUGUGUGUGUUCUGAGGGCAGUGAUGGGGAUGGGACCUGAUAGCGUGGCCAGGGUGAGCCUCUGGAGAGGUGACGUGCGUGCUGAUAUUAGCUCAUGGGGCUGUUUGGGAGAAGGGGAGUUUUAAGUAAAAGGAACUACAAGCACAGAAGUCCUGAGGCAGGAAUAAGCAUGACAAGUUUGAGGAACAACAGCAAAAAAGCCCAGGGUGGCUGGUGCCUGGAGAGUGAGGGGGAAAGUGGGUGUUCCAGAAGGAGUCAGAGACAAAGCAGCUGGGGACACAGGGAGCUCAGUGAUGAAGACAUUGCAGGGAUCCUGGCUAGAAAGGUCAGAGGCUUGGGUUAGGGUGAUAGCUAUGGAGGUGGUAAAACACAGAAACUCUAAGAUACUUGGAGAAAUAGAACUGAUAGGACUUCUGAUACCUGAUCCCUGAGGAUUGAGGGAUGGGAGGAAUCCAAGAUGACUCCUAAGCAUUUGGCUGGAGCAGCUGGGUAGAUGGGGGUGGUUACUGAGAUAGGGAAAACUGGGAAUGGAACUGGUUUUGUGGGGGAAUCAAGAUUUUUGCUUUGGAUGUGUUUAGUAUGAGAUGCUAAUUGAGCAUCCUGGUGGAGAGGAAGCAGCUCUCAUAGAGGCUUGAGAUAUAAGACUGCCAAAUUCUUCUGUGGAGGCAGGGUGCCUGAGGACAGCUCAGGAGAGAGCUGCAGUUAGGAAAGGCAAGGCUGGCUGUAGGGUGGGAAUAGGCUGGAGGAGGGAGGUGCCUGGAGGUGGGGGGACCACCCUGGUCUGCUGUGUUAGUCUAGAUGGGAAAGGAUGACGACCUGAAUCCAUCUGGCACCUGCACCUCAGAGUGGCCUCCAUGCUCAAUAGACUGCUUCAUGAUUUCAUUUCAGGGCCAGCCACCCAGCACAGAGCAUGGAGUGACUUGCUUAAACAACAAUACAGCCCACAUAGAGGGAGCUCUUGGCAAGAGUCCAUCCCUGUGCUAAGGGCUUCUGAUACUUUAUCUCAUUUCAUCCACACAAAGAUCCUACAAGGCAGGCACCACUCCUCCACUUAGGCAUAGAUGCAAUUGUUCUUGCUGUUGUUUUUGGUAAGCUGAAAGUAACACUAAAUAAGGGGCCUCUAAAGACAUUUCUCAUCAGCAGGCAGAGUUGCCCUGUUGGUCCUGGAAGUAGGUUUGUUCUCAUCUCUCUAUAAAUGUUCUUUUGUUUUUGAUCCUUAAGUAGGGGAGCUUCGGAAUUAUCAACACCCCCAUUUUACAGACGAGGAAGCUGAGUUUCAGAUGGGCAAGGUGGCUUCCCAAUAUGACACAGCCUGUGAGUGGAGUCCCUGGUCUUGCUCCCUCCAUGGAGGGUUAGGUGUAGGGAGACAAGGGCGGUGGCAGCACCAUGCAGGUCUUUGACCAGAAGAAAAGCCAGUGUAAUUAACAGUAAUAGACAGACUAAAGUUUCAGAAGGAAGAAAAGUUGUGUAUACAGUAAAAACCCUCUGAUCUAACACAUGUGAGAAAGACAAUUGGCCAUUUAUACUUAAGCCUAAAGCUGGGAAUCAUUAAAAGACAACAUAUAUUAUUUAACUUUUUGUAGGAAACAUUCAAUGUAUAUUGGUUUACUGUGAACUUUUCUUUAAGAGUAAGCCACGGAUGGGCAUUCAGUGUCAAUUCCUCCUCCUCCUCCUCCCCACCUUCCUCCUCCUCCUCCUUUGAAACACAGCUUUAGCUAGUCUUUCCGAAGCAUCCAAUUUAGCUUUCACAGAAACAGGAAGUCUUUCUUUGUGUACUUACAGUUGAUCGAUGUAUUUAAUAUUUAAUUAAAUUGGGUAAUUGCAAUAGUAAGUACAACAGAUAGAACAGGUUUGGGAAUAAAUCCAAUCUACUAUUGCAAAGUACAGGAUCCACCAGAAAAGAGAAGGGCUCCUACCCAGUCCCCAGCAGCCACCAGCCUUCAGAGCCCCAGGGCAUGCACCAAUAGACUUUGCAGAGUAAAUGGAGAGUGCUGGUUAAUCUGGCACAUAAGUUAAGUGAGAUUUAUAUAAAAGAGCCCCUACUGGUGGGGUGUGGUGGCUCAUGCCUAUAAUCCUAGCACUUUGGGAGCCCGAGGUGAGUGGAUCACCUGAGGCCAGGAGUUCGAGACCAGCCUGGCCAACAUGGCAAAACUCUGUCUCUACUAAAAAUACAAAAAUUAGCUGGGUCUUGUGGCAUGUACCUGUAGUCCCAGCUACAUGGGAGGCUGAGGCAGGAGAAUUGUUUGAGCCCAGGAGGCGGAGGUUGCAGUGAGCCAAGAUCAUGCCACUGCACUCCAGUCUAGGCGACAGAGCAAGAUUCUAUCUCCAAAAAAAAAAAAAAAAAAAAAAAAGAAAGAGCCCCUACUGACAGAAAUACACACAGUAUAUGUUUGUGUAUGCCAGACACUUGAAAUGAAUGAAUGAAUGAAAUACUUGUGUGGAAAUGAUUUUGCUUUUCUAAUUCUUUUUUCCUUCUGGCUCAAUCUUUUAUAAAGACUGGUUCUAAUUUGAACUGGUUCAGUAGGAUUUUAAAAACAGCUGAUUUUGUUUUCCGUGCAGUAAAAAAAAAUUGCUUGGGUUGGGUUCAGAGUUCAGAAAAUUAGUGCAGUCCAUUUCGGUUUAUGAGUCAUAUUCUCCUGGUCCACAUUACUCAUAGCAAGGAAUGAUUCAAAACCAGUGCCUUUUCCUUCUGGCUCUGAGUCUAAAAAUGCCUUAGGUCUCUUUUGUUCUGAGCUGUUCCUGUUCUAAGCAAUCCUAAAAUGACACUUAUUGGAGACCAAAAAUCAUGAACAGAAGGAGACUGACAUAAAACCCCACUUGAUUGUGAUGCUGAAGACAGUCAUCACACUAUGGAGUCGGCAGCCCCCGUGGAAACCACUAACUCCUCUCACUCAAAUGCUUGCUGAGCAGAUUGGCCCUCCCGGCUGCAGGCCUGUUUUCCAGGAAGAGGCCCAAUCCCGUCGCAAAAGCCCUGCAGACUCCCCAGGGACUGGUCAAAAGCUAGCUUCCUUAGUUUCCCCAUUUUGUACUCAUAUUUCUCGGAUGUUCUUUCUUUUCCCUUCCCUUGUGUGGUAUUAACAUUGACUGUACACAUUUUGGGCUUGUUUAACGUUGUUUAUGUUAGGAACAAAAGACAUCAGUAUUUCUGGUUUAGUCACAAAGAAGUCAUGGGACAUUCUCUUCAGAGCCUUGGGACAAUUCCUUGGGUACCAGGCGGCGGAGAUCCAAGGAGCACUCAGUGACAGCCUGCCUUGGGCACAAAUUCUGCCAUCCAAAAUGGAAGUACAAUCAGUCCACAUGCAGGGCAUUACGUGAUUUGCUUUGAUUCUUCUCAUGGCCUCCCCACCUCCCCACUUUUUUAGAGACAGAAUCUUGCUCUGUUGCCCAGGCUGGAGUGCACUAGCACAAUCAUGGCUCACUGUAGCAUCAAACUCCUGGGCUCAAGCAAUUCCCCUGCCUCAGUCUCCCAAGUAGCUGGGACUACAGGUUCAUAUCACCAUGCCCAGCUAAUUGUCUUUUUUUUUUUUUUUUUUGUAGAGACAGGGUCUUGCAUGUUGCCCAGGCUGGUCUCAAACUCCUGGACUCAAGUGAUCCUCCUGCCUCGGCCUCCUAAAGUGUUGGGAUUACAAGCAUGAGCGCCUCUGCCUGGCUCAUGGCCCCUUUUUAUAGGAGCUGCCUUCCUACUAUCUUGUCUAGCUGUGCUGUUUUCAAGAUGUCAAAAUUACCCUUGUAGCAUGAACCAUAUGGUAUUGGAUGAAUGUUGAAGACAUUGUAUGAACUCAUGUUUAGCUGAAUAUAGAUCCAGAUGGAUCUAUAUCUAUGUCUAUAGCUCUAUUUAUGUCUAUGUCUAUGUCUAUAUCAUCUACCUACAUAUAUGUAUAAAUAAUUAUAGAUAAAUUGGAGGCCAUUAUUCUAAAAGAAGUAACUCAGGAAUGGAAAACCAAAUACCAUAUGUUCUCACUUAUAAGUAGGAGCUAAGCUAUGGGUAGGCAAAGACAUACAGGGUGGUAUAAUGGACUUUGGAGACUAAAAAGCAGGGAAGGGCAAGGGGGUGAGGGACAAAAAACUACAUAUUUCUUACAGUGUAUGCUAUUCGGGUAACAGUUGCACUAAAAUCUCAAACUCCACCACUAUACAAUUCAUCCAUGUAACCAAAAACUACUUGUACCCCAAAAGCUAUUGAAACUAAAAAAAGAUGUGUGUGUAUACAUGGUGUAUUAGUCUGUUUUCAUGCUGUUGAUAAAGACAUACCUGAGACUGGGUAAUUUAUACAGGAAAAAGAAUUUAAUGCACUUACAGUUCCACAUGGCUGGGGAGGCCUCACAAUCAUGGUGGAAGGCAAGGAGGAGCAAGUCACAUCUUACGUGGAUGGCAGCAGGAGAAAAAAGAGAGCUUGUGUAGGGAAACUCCCCCCUUACAGAAUCAUCAGAUCUUGUGAGACUUAUUCACUGUCACGAGAACAGCAUGGGAAAGACCUGCCCCCAUGAUUCAAUUACCUCCCACCGGGCCCCUCCCACAACACUUGAGAAUUCAAGAUAAGAUUUGGGUGGGGACACAGCCAAACCAUAUCAUUGGGUUAGUAUACAUACUUAUAUUUCCUACUUCUGACUGCUGAGUUGGCUCAGAAGCAAUGACACCCCAGUAGCAAUGAGCAGAACCAGGGUCUACAUCUUGGUAUCCAACCCCAUUUUCCAAUAAAAAGAGUCAGGGCUCCUUGAAGAAAUGACUGAUUCUGGGGCUGGGAAAGGGAAUGUGCAAGAUGGGCCUGGAGCAUCUCGUAGGACUCUAUAUGAAAUAACUCAGGAAUGGAAAACAAAAGUAUACCACCCUGUAUACCUUUGCCUACCCAUAGCUUAACUCCUGCUUAUAAGUGAGAACAUAUGGUAUUUGGUUUUCCAUUCCAGAAACUAAAGAAAUACUGAAAAAGCAAAAUGAGAGGGUACGUCAAAGGGACACAGAAGCCAACUGCAAGAGUUCCCAACAGAAAAAGCUGGAACUAUUUGAGCAACAAAAUAAAUAAUAUACUAUUGGGUUAUAACCCAAAGUAUACAAUAAAUUAUCAUAAAUCUAUACUGAUUUAAAAUAAUUAGUGACUAUAUCAAUAAAUGGGGAAGAACAGACAAAUCUCCUGUUUAAAAGAAUAUUAAAUAAUUUAUGUAGAUACUCCCCCUCAAGGAGGUGGGACCUAACUCUACAUCCCUUGAGCAUGGGCUGCAGGUGGGGACCUCCUUUUAAUGAGUAAAGUACAGAAAGGGGGAACAAGAAGAGUAACUUUUUAGUGGAGAGACCUGACCAACACUAUCUGAGCCGGGUGUUCAAAGUCAGCCUCAACAGUGGUAUGUGGUAUUGGUAGCAUGUUAAUAGCACGUACCCUUGAUCGGAUGUGAUAAGAAUGGUACUUUACCUCUAUGAUACUCCUCAAACCCAUAACCCCAGUCUAGCCAUGGGAAAAACAUCAGAUAAACCCAAAUUGAGAGGACGUUCUACAAAAUUCCUGACUGGUACUCCUCAAAGCCGUCAAGGUCAUGAAAAAUAAGGAAUAUCUACGGAACUGUCACAGCCAGAUGGCGCCUAAAGAGACACGAUGAACAAAUGUAACGUGGUGUCCUGGAUGGAACCUGGAACAGAAAAGCAACAUUAGGUAGAAACUAAGGAGAAGCGAAGGAAGUCUGGGCUUUACUCAGCUGUGAUGUAUCAAUUCUCAUUUAUAAGUUAUGACAAAUGUACCGUAUUAGUGUCAGUGAUAUGGGAAAUUGGCAGUAGGUAUAUAGGAACUCUUGCUAAUGUUGUUACAACUUCUCUGUAAAUCUAAAAUUUACAGAAAUAAAAUAAAAUGAAGAGUUUAUUUUGAAUAAUCUUCCUGCACCCCUGGCCAUUUCUUUUCUUUCUCCUGAUCCUAUGUCUCCCAACAUACUGGUCUGCACCCUAUGCCCUGAUCAUGAGAGAAAUUGCCUCAAUAUGGACAGGCUGACUUAACAUCUCUUCUGGGGGCUUUCACUCAUUGGCACGGGGAGGUGAAUACUAUUUCUGGUUUUCUGGCACCCUUAUUUCUCAGCUUAUCUACUUUCUGGGGGCUUAUCUGAGGCAUUUUGAUUGGCUCUAACAUGGUUUGAGACAUUGUUUGGAGUCUGGAGGAGCUCUGUGCAUUCGUCUCUUGCUGCUGAAGGAGUCAGGCUGCACGCCUUUGGCCAGGAACACGUUGCCUGUGGCUGAGGAUGGUGGGGUCUUCUGGGGGCUGUCACGUCUGACCCUCAGUGGGCCGAUAUCCACUGAAAAGCAGCCGUUUGUCCCUCGUCACGAUCUGCUUCCUUCGCUUCUUCUCUACCUCGCUCCUUUACGUGGUAAAACCUGUCUCAUCUAGACCAUUAUUUUCAUCUCCCUUUUCCUCUUAAUCUUCCCUUUUCAACACUCUCCUGAGGAGAGAUUUACAAGGAUUGAUGAUAUGGUUAUACGGGGGUGCCUCGAACAUCAGAACUUAAAAUUUUUAAAAUAAGAAACUGGCAACAAGGCGUUCUGUCCAGGCAGGAGUCUCUUGAAUGGCUCAACCCCUCUUAAGUAAAAUAGAUUGUGUGCAAUGCCAGAACCAGCCCAGAUGCUCCCUCUGUGCAAAUUAGCAGAAAGCACCCUCUCUAAGCAGCUACCGACCUGCAGCAAAGUCUUGGUGUGGGGAGAACGAGGGCUCAAUUUCAGACCCCAGAUAUCCCCUCAGCCAGGCAGCUUUGCACAGUAGCCAACCUAUACAACGAUUCACUGUGACCCUAAAAUGUACAGUGGGUAGCAGCUCAUUUUUCCAGGGAAACAGCGUUCAGGAUAAUUAUUUCUUCUCAUACUGGUUGGUACCUGAGGACAGGGUGCAGAUUGUCUUUGGAGUCCCCUGGGAGAAUUGAGAUUAAGACCUAGACCAAGGGGAAUGCUGUCAUCAGUUCCUAUUGGUUCAUAAGAGCCAAUUGCUAAUUUUUCAACACUUGUAGAAGCUGGUUGCUAAACAUUUUAAAAAAUUAAGUUAUAUAAAUGUACAAUGAAAAUAUAUUGAUAACAGAUGUAAUAAAUACUCAAAAUUCAUUCCUAAUUAUGGACUUCAUUUUACUAUUGACUAUGCUUUUCAAGUUAUUGACGUCUCUUGUAUGUGUUUGGUGGGAACACUCUAUAUCCGUGUGCUACUACUCUGCUUUUCUAAGCCAGGGCUCUAUGUCGUCAUGGCACUUUCUUGAAAUUGGCAUGGUGAGAGUAUUUACACCAUGGAAAUGGACAAAUGCUAUGCAUCAGUCUUUCCCACCACCCACCGCUGAUUGUUAAACAUCAACCAACACACCACAGCCCCUGACUGUGACCCAGUGGGACCCAGUGUUUCCAGAAACUCUCUGACACAUGGUCCUGACUGAGGUCAUCUUGUGGGAAACGACACCAAAAUCCUCAAAGAAGAAUUCACCAUGAGGAGAGGGAGGGAAGACUGGAAUGGGGACCCAGG
rnacentral:lncRNA from 10 species